AGCAGUCGCCGCGGUAAUACGUAGGUGGCAAGCGUUGUCCGGAAUUAUUGGGCGUAAAGGGCUCGCAGGCGGUUUCUUAAGUCUGAUGUGAAAGCCCCCGGCUCAACCGGGGAGGGUCAUUGGAAACUGGGAAGCUUGAGUGCAGAAGAGGAGAGUGGAAUUCCACGUGUAGCGGUGAAAUGCGUAGAGAUGUGGAGGAACACCAGUGGCGAAGGCGACUCUCUGGUCUGUAACUGACGCUGAGGAGCGAAAGCGUGGGGAGCGAACAGGAUUAGAUACCCCCGUAGUCCCUGUCUCUUAUAC
rnacentral:rRNA from 1 species